CCUACGGGAGGCAGCAGUGGGGAAUUUUGCGCAAUGGGCGAAAGCCUGACGCAGCGACGCCGCGUGGAGGAUGAAGGCCCUAUGGGUUGUAAACUCCUGUGAGAGGGGAAGAAUGUCCCGCUUCAGGCGGGAUUGACGGUACCCUCAGAGGAAGGUCCGGCCAACUACGUGCCAGCAGCCGCGGUAAUACGUAUGGACCGAGCGUUGUCCGGAAUCAUUGGGUGUAAAGGGUCCGCAGGCGGAUGUGUAAGUCGGAGGUGAAAUCUUCCCGCGCAACGGGAAAACUGCUUUCGAGACUGCCCGUCUGGAGUACGGGAGAGGGUGGUGAAAUUCCUGGUGUAGCGGUGAAAUGCG
rnacentral:rRNA from 1 species